rnacentral:rRNA from 1 species
UACGUAGGGUGCGAGCGUUGUCCGGAAUUAUUGGGCGUAAAGGGCUCGUAGGCGGUUUGUCACGUCGGGAGUGAAAACUCGGGGCUUAACCCCGAGCCUGCUUCCGAUACGGGCAGACUAGAGGUAUGCAGGGGAGAACGGAAUUCCUGGUUUAGCGGUGAAAUGCGCAGAUAUCAGGAGGAACACCGGUGGCGAAGGCGGUUCUCUGGGCAUUACCUGACGCUGAGGAGCGAAAGUGUGGGGAGCGAACAGG